GGAAAGAUGAAAAGAACUUUGAAAAGAGAGUUAAAUAGUACGUGAAAUUGUUGAAAGGGAAACGAUUGAAGUCAGUCGUACCGGCGGAUAAUCAACCUUUCGGCGUGAUUAUGUGGAGCGUGAGGAGUUAAUCACUUUCAUGCCUGCAUAUUCGUGUAUUUUGGGUGUACUUAUCUGUAUGGUAGGUUAACAUCAAUUUUGGUCGUUAUAAAAUGACUGGGGAAAUGUGGCUUUGAUUUCGUAUUGAAGUGUUAUAGUCUCUGGUAGAUAUAGUGACCGGGAUUGAGGAUUGCAACGGAUACCCUUUCGGGGCUACUCGUCUGAUCUCUGAUCGUUACUCUGGUGCUGAAAGCUUGCUUACGGUUAUCAAAGUUGAUGGUUAAUAAGUUAGAACGGGUUAAAUUCGUUAAGGAUGUUGACGUAAUGGCUUUAAACGACCCGUCUUGAAACACGGACCA
rnacentral:rRNA from 1 species